GCCAGAAAGGGCAGCUGUCAGAGGUCUGUCUGGGUGUCAAGCUGGCUGGUGGAACUCUGAAAAGAGCAACUUUUCAGAAAGACUUUGUGGCUGACUCUUGAGCCCUCAAGCUUAUCAACACUGUUAUUUCAAUGUGCUCUUCAGAUGGAAUCUUCCCUUGUGAUGAAGAAAAACAAUUAAGAAAACAACAUCUGCUACAGUGGCUACAUGUGAAAAUAUAGACAUUAUUCUUUUGGAA